rnacentral:rRNA from 1 species
UGAACGCUAGCUACAGGCUUAACACAUGCAAGUCGAGGGGCAGCAUGAACAAAGCUUGCUUUGUUGAUGGCGACCGGCGCACGGGUGCGUAACACGUAUCCAAUCUGCCCGCGGCUCGGGGAUAGCCCAUCGAAAGAUGGAUUAAUACCCGAUGGUGUGGUCGCUCCGCAUGGGGUUUCCACUAAAGGUUUUCCGGCCGCGGAUGAGGAUGCGUAUGAUUAGGUAGUAGGCGGGGUAACGGCCCACCUAGCCUUCGAUCAGUAGCCGGUCUGAGAGGAUGAACGGCCACAUUGGGACUGAGAUACGGCCCAGACUCCUACGGGAGGCAGCAGUGGGGAAUAUUGGUCAAUGGUCUGACGACUGAACCAGCCAUGCCGCGUGAAGGUCACGGCCCUAUGGGUCUUAAACUUCUUUUGUAAGGGAGCAAUAAGUUCUACGUGUAGGACGAUGAGAGUACCUUACGAAUAAGCAUCGGCUAACUCCGUG